rnacentral:lncRNA from 1 species
AGUGAUUUAAAGGCUAGUUUGGGGGUGAAUGUCAAUUUUAUAAACUUCUUUUCAGCCAAAUUUAAUUUGAUUUAUUUGCUUCUUGGUAUACUUAGCUUAUCUUUAAUGUUCAUUUAUUCAUUACAAAGAAAUAUUCUCAUUAAAAGUAUAGAUUAUUGUGCAUUUUUAGCUGAAAAAUACUUCCAAUCAUUGUGGGUGUCUUUCUACUAAAUCGAUGUUUCCUCUGCUGUAAGAGCCAACUCCUCUACCCUCCUCAUCCGCUAGGUCCUUUAGGAAAAUGAAUUUUAUUAAGCACAUAUUUUCCCUUAAGACAUGAUUAUGAAGCAUUUGGAAAAGAUAAGCUGAUUUGAAAUUGAUUGGAAACUUUUUUUAGCCUUUUUUUUAUUUACAAUACAAAUAUUUAGUUACAUAUUUUCAUACAAGACAUGGUCUUUGAAAGUUUUUAGGAGUGUGUUUAAACAGUGCUUCAUGCCGGUGUUUUGAUGCAUUUAUCAAUUUAAAGUGUAAAUAUAUAACUAAACAAUAAACAUCUUCAGUUUUAAUAUGCUUUAUAAAACACACAUUUCUAAUCAUUGCAACACCUCAGAUUCUCUAAAUUCCUAUAGUGGGGUUUUCACCACUUCUAGGCUCUUUUCCAAAUUUUUCUUCUCACAUAUUUUUACUGUAUCAACUCUAAUGAGAAAAAAAAAUUUAACUCUUGCAAAACAGAAAUUUGAAGAUUAGAGAAAUGGAUUAAUGAGGCCACUUGAUUUCUCUUUCUCCUUCACAUCCAUUAGACUAUUCAAAAAUAUUGAUAAUACUUAUACUAUAGCCUAAGGAUUAAGGUCUGUGUUUAAAUCCAAGCCUUAACAAGUACCAGCCUUGGACAAAAUGCUUAAUAUCUCUGGGCUUCCAUUUCUUCCUCUGCAUAUUGUGGCACAAGUUCCCCCUUGCUUU